UGUAGGUCAGCACAAUCAGGCCACGCCUCCAGGGUGUUAAGUGGGAGGAGCUUGAUCUUUAUUUAAUUUCCAAAGCAAAACAUUUCUCUCAUUUGCGGCUUUAAUGGCAUUUCUCAUAACUUUAACCCCCUGGGGUCCAAAAACGCGGGGCCGCGUUUUGACGCAUUUUUUCCUGUUUCCUGUGACAUCCACUUAAAAUACUCCGUCAUUCAUAAUCAUACACAUACAUGUAAUACAUCAUUAGAAACUGUGAAGUGUCUACUUUAAUGUGAGUGCCUUCAUAAUAACAACAAAACCGUGUGCUUUUGGCAAAUAAAGAAAAUAAACAGGGAGUGCAUUUCGACAUCUCUGUCUCCUUGACCAUCUUCCUCAAACACGUUACAAACAUGAACUGAUAACUCCGCCAAUACUUGUCACACGAACAUGAUACAUGUGUCUAAAGAAAGCCUGAAAUGUCUACUUUUACAUGAUGCAAUUAAAAUCUGAAGAACUCAUUGUCUGUUUGUGUAAUCGACAUGUAAGUAAAGAGAGGUACAGUUUUUCUUGCUCAACCUCAUUAGCACUAAUGUGAUCCCACCUACCCGCGUGCGCGCAAUUCAUAUGGAAAUUACCUGAUGCGGGCUAUGCAAACAAGAUCAACGCCCCCAAACAAUGCUUUGAGAAGCAGCAAGUUUUGACAGUUUCAUUCACUUAUCGAUGCGCUGGGAAAAUGAAAUGACACGCUUUACAGGUGAGGAAGCUCUACAGAUGCUCCUGGACAGCGAGGAAGAGUUCACAGUUUCUUCAGACGAAGAGCAGGACUCCGACGAUGAACGUUUUUAUUUUGAAGAGCGACUUGAUCCAGCUGAGGAUAUAAUUUCUGAAGAAUUUACUGACAGUGAUAAGGCACCUGUUGCAAAAAGAGUCAAGACCAACAUCCAGGCAAGCAGCAGCAGGUCCAUUCUGUCAUGGAAAACAGAGGCUGAUAUUGAUGUGGUUCCACACACUUUGCGUUUCUUUCCUGCACUAAAGAUGAUCUCCAUCAGGCACUACUGGAGACAGGACGAUGUUUUCUCCGUGCCUUUUCCUGCCAGAGUAAUGUCAAGAGAGAGAUACUGCACUAUUUCAUGGAAUGUGCACAUGAGUCACCCAGAAGACCAAAAACAUGUAAUGUUCUAUUGUGUGUUCAGUUAAAUAGGAACUGUUUUGAACAAUGGCACGACAACAUUUAACUCCAUUCUCAAAGAGUUACAGUGUGUGAUGGUUUACAAAUGUAUACCUUAUUUUUUAUAUUGUGAAGUAUUUUUAGAUGCACACCAAACUGUACAUUCAUAGCUGACAUUUAGAAUAAUUUUCUUUUAAUUAGAGCCAUAUUGUACUGGUCAUAUAGAAUAUUGUUACAUGUAUUGUUACUUUAUUAUUUAUAAUUACAAUGAUGCUUCUUUAUUGAUAAUUACAAUAAAGCUUUUUAACUCUA